rnacentral:lncRNA from 1 species
CAGCCUACAGAUGGGCUGAUUAUUCUGAGCUUUUCAGUGGCUUCCCUUUAUUCACUUAGACGUUAACGAUUCAGGAUUGUCAAGCUGCAGCCCAGCCCCCAUCACCCCAGAGCACCCAGCCUGUGAGCACUCAGCUCAGGGCACCUCCCCGNGGCACCUCCCCAUGCUUGGCACAUGCCUGCCCCGUGUCGGGGGGCUCAGAAAGAGCUCCAGUACAAAGAGGCUUGUACACCAGCCAACAUCUCGCCCAGCCUGGGGUCCCUGCGCCGCGGUUUCUCGUGGAAAUCAGCUGCUAAUGACUGACCUGAGGUCUGUUCACACACAGUCCCCUGCAUGGCUGGAGCAGCAAGACAAGAUGGGGGGUUAUUUUACAGUGUUCUCAUAGCCAGUGGCGCCAGGUAGGACACAGGGCAAGCCCUGCACAGUGGCACUAGCAUGCAGCUGGCAUGCUGGUGGCCAGAUU